CCAAUUUCUCUGGUCAGGAAUCUGUGAGCAGCUUAGUUGGGUAGCCCUGGCUCAGGGCCUCUCACAAAGCUGCAGUCAAGCUGUUGGCCAGGUCUUCUUCUCCAGCCCAUGGGGGCUGGAGGAUCUCGUCCACACUCACCCAUAUGGCUGCUUUCAGGCCUCACUUCCUCACUGGCUGUUGGGCACCUUACCAUGUGGCCUCUUCAUAGGCUGCCUGAGUGUCCUUUUCAAAUGGCAAGUGGCUUUUUCCAGAAUGGCAUAUCCAAGAGAGAAAGAGAAAAGAAAAGAAGAGACAAGGAGAACCCACUGUAGAGGCUUCAGUCUUGUAAAACCUAACCUCGGAAGUGACACAUACCAUCCUUUCUGCCAUCAUUGGUCACUUUAGACCAGCUGUGGUCCACUGCAGGCCAGGGCUCCAUGAGGGUGUGAACGCGAGGAGGUGGGACUGCUGUGGGGCGCCCUCAGAAGCUGCCUCCCUUAGACAACAAGGACACAGUCCGUCCUCACUGCUGGACGUAGGUGGUAAAGUCCCAGGAGCAACAGCUCCAGGAAAUCACAGAGGGUGGGGAGGGGCAUUUCCCAAAAAGAUCAUGUAGUGCAAACCAAAAGUAUACAUCUGCCACAAAUAAAUACUGCAAUCUACUUCCUCAUCAACUGACUCAAGGAGGGCUGCGUAGGCCAGGCUGAACCUCCAUGAAGGCAUCCUUCCUCUACCCGGGUUUCCAUACAUUCCUGCAGAAGAGCAGCCCAGUGCCCAAAGUCCUGCGGUUUUCUACAAGCCUGUUUGAGAGACAAAGCAUAAUCAUCACUGACUGUAGAAGACAGUAAUGAAAAACAGAUAAGACAAAAGAAAAAAUCCAUAAUUCACUCUCAAAGAUGUUCUCACUAAGUCUUCCAGACUUUUUAGUCUGUCUAUAACAUAAGGCUGCAAAAUUGGGACCAUACUUAAUAUAAGGAUGUGGGUUUUUUAACUUAAAAACAUAUAAUCAAAAAAAUUACUUUAA